rnacentral:rRNA from 1 species
AUUGAACGCUGGCGGCAGGCCUAACACAUGCAAGUCGAGCGAGCGGCGGACGGGUGAGUAAUGUCUGGGAAACUGCCUGAUAGAGGGGGAUAACUACUGGAAACGGUGGCUAAUACCGCAUACCAUCGGAUGUGCCCAGAUGGGAUUAGUUAGUAGGUGGGGUAAUGGCUUACCUAGGCGACGAUCCCUAGCUGGUCUGAGAGGAUGACCAGCCACACUGGAACUGAGACACGGCCCAGACUCCUACGGGAGGCAGCAGUGGGGAAUAUUGCACAAUGGGCGCAAGCCUGAUGCAGCCAUGCCGCGUGUGUGAAGAAGGCCUUCGGGUUGUAAAGUACUUUCAGCGGGGAGGCGUUACCCGCAGAAGAAGCACCGGCUAACUCCGUGCCAGCAGCCGCGGUAAUAC